GACGUAGGGUCCAAGCGUUGUCCGGAUUUACUGGGCGUAAAGAGCGCGUAGGCGGCUCGUUAAGUGUGAAGUGAAAUCUCUAGGCUCAACCCAGAAACUGCUUUACAUACUGGCGAGCUGGAGUGAUGAAGAGGUUUGUGGAAUUCCUGGUGUAGCGGUGAAAUGCGUUGAUAUCAGGAAGAACGACCCGUGGCUAAGGCGGCUCUCUAGUACGGUACUGACGCUGAGACGCGAAAGCGUGGGGAGCGAACAGG
rnacentral:rRNA from 1 species